GGGAUGCCCCAGUAACGGCGAGUGAAGCGGCAACAGCUCAAAUUUGAAAUCUGGCUCUCGGGCCCGAGUUGUAAUUUGUAGAGGAUGCUUUUGGUGAGGUGCCUUCCGAGUUCCCUGGAACGGGACGCCAUAGAGGGUGAGAGCCCCGUCUGGUUGGACGCCGAACCUCUGUAAAGCUCCUUCGACGAGUCGAGUAGUUUGGGAAUGCUGCUCUAAAUGGGAGGUAUAUGUCUUCUAAAGCUAAAUACCGGCCAGAGACCGAUAGCGCACAAGUAGAGUGAUCGAAAGAUGAAAAGAACUUUGAAAAGAGAGUUAAACAGUACGUGAAAUUGUUGAAAGGGAAGCGCUUGUGACCAGACUUGGGCUUGGUUGAUCAUCCGGGGUUCUCCCCGGUGCACUCUUCCGGCCCAGGCCAGCAUCAGUUCGCCCUGGGGGACAAAGGCUUCGGGAACGUGGCUCUCUCCGGGGAGUGUUAUAGCCCGUUGCGUAAUACCCUGUGGCGGACUGAGGUUCGCGCAUUCGCAAGGAUGCUGGCGUAAUGGUCAUCAGUGACCCGUCUUGAAACACGGACCAAGGAGUCGUCUUCGUAUGCGAGUGUUCGGGUGUCAAACCCCUACGCGAAAUGAAAGUGAACGCAGGUGAGAGCUUCGGCGCAUCAUCGACCGAUCCUGAUGUUAUCGGAUGGAUUUGAGUAAGAGCAUACGGGGCCGGACCCGAAAGAAGGUGAACUAUGCCUGUGUAGGGUGAAGCCAGAGGAAACUCUGGUGGAGGCUCGCAGCGGUUCUGACGUGCAAAUCGAUCGUCAAACAUGGGCAUGGGGG
rnacentral:rRNA from 1 species